GAGGAUGGCCAUAGCACCCUGAACGUGCCCGAUCUCAUCUGAUCUCGGACGCUAAGCAGGGUUGGGCUUGGUUAGUACCUGGAUGGGAUUCUGCCUGGGAAUACUGGGUGCUAUAGACU
rnacentral:rRNA from 1 species